rnacentral:rRNA from 1 species
UACGUAGGGUGCGAGCGUUAAUCGGAAUUACUGGGCGUAAAGCGUGCGCAGGCGGUUCGUUAAGUCAGAUGUGAAAUCCCCGAGCUUAACUUGGGAACUGCAUUUGAAACUGGCGGGCUGGAGUGUGGCAGAGGGGGGUGGAAUUCCACGUGUAGCAGUGAAAUGCGUAGAGAUGUGGAGGAACACCGAUGGCGAAGGCAGUCCCCUGGCCAACACUGACGCUCAGGCACGAAAGCAUGGGGAGCGAACGGG